GACGAACGCUGGCGGCGUGCCUAAUACAUGCAAGUAGGACGCACAGUUUAUACCGUAGCUUGCUACACCAUAGACUGUGAGUUGCGAACGGGUGAGUAACGCGUAGGUAACCUACCUAUUAGAGGGGGAUAACUAUUGGAAACGAUAGCUAAUACCGCAUAACAGUAUGUAACACAUGUUAGAUGCUUGAAAGAUGCAAUUGCAUCGCUAGUAGAUGGACCUGCGUUGUAUUAGCUAGUAGGUAGGGUAAAGGCCUACCUAGGCAACGAUACAUAGCCGACCUGAGAGGGUGAUCGGCCACACUGGGACUGAGACACGGCCCAGACUCCUACGGGAGGCAGCAGUAGGGAAUCUUCGGCAAUGGGGGGAACCCUGACCGAGCAACGCCGCGUGAGUGAAGAAGGUUUUCGGAUCGUAAAGCUCUGUUGUUAAGGAAGAACGAGUGUGAGAAUGGAAAGUUCAUGCUGUGACGG
rnacentral:rRNA from 1 species